rnacentral:sRNA from 1 species
UUUCGUUGCUUCGGGGGUCGGGGGUCGACCCCGCCCGCCGCCGGACUCCCCCUCGCGGGGCUGCGCCGGCGGGCCUGCCGGAGGACACAGACUCUGUAUUCAAAAACGUACCUCUCUGAGUUAUCUUUACAAAUAAGUAAAAACUUUCAACAACGGAUCUCUUGGUUCUGGCAUCGAUGAAGAACGCAGCGAAAUGCGAUAAGUAAUGUGAAUUGCAGAAUUCAGUGAAUCAUCGAAUCUUUGAACGCACAUUGCGCCCGCUAGUAUUCUGGCGGGCAUGCCUGUCCGAGCGUCAUUUCAACCCUCAGGCCCUGGUUGCCUGGUGUUGGGGCGCCGCGUCCCCUCAGCGGGCGCGGGCCCCGAAAGUCAGUGGCGGGCUCGCCAGGACUCCGAGCGCAGUAGUUUACACCUCGCUGCGGAGGGCCUGGUGGGUUACCCAGCCGUAAAACACCCCAAACUUCUAAGGUUGACCUCGGAUCA